rnacentral:rRNA from 1 species
GUCGCGGGGCAGCAUGAUUUUUCCCUCGGGAAAGAUUGAUGGCGACCGGCGCACGGGUGAGUAACGCGUAUCCAACCUGCCCGUCACCACGGGAUAGCCUGCCGAAAGGCAGAUUAAUACCGUAUGUGGUCCGAAGACGGCAUCAGAUUCGGACUAAAGGUUCAGCGGUGACGGAUGGGGAUGCGUCCGAUUAGGUAGUAGGCGGGGUAACGGCCCACCUAGCCAUCGAUCGGUAGGGGUUCUGAGAGGAAGGUCCCCCACACUGGAACUGAGACACGGUCCAGACUCCUACGGGAGGCAGCAGUGAGGAAUAUUGGUCAAUGGAGGCAACUCUGAACCAGCCAAGUAGCGUGCAGGAUGACGGCCCUAUGGGUUGUAAACUGCUUUUAUGCGGGGAUAAACUGAGCCACGUGUGGCUUAUUGCAGGUACCGCAUGAAUAAGGACCGGCUAAUUCCGUGCCAGCAGCCGCGGUAAUACGGAAGGUCCGGGCGUUAUCCGGAUUUAUUGGGUUUAAAGGGAGCGCAGGCCGCCCCUUAAGCGUGUUGUGAAAUGCCGCGGCUCAACCGUGGCACUGCAGCGCGAACUGGGGGGCUUGAGUGCGCCGGAGGUAGGCGGAAUUCGUGGUGUAGCGGUGAAAUGCUUAGAUAUCACGAAGAACUCCGAUUGCGAAGGCAGCCUACCGUAGCGUUACUGACGCUGAGGCUCGAAGGUGCGGGUAUCGAACAGGAUUAGAUACCCUGGUAGUCCGCACGGUAAACGAUGGAUGCCCGCCGUUGGGUAUUUUUAUUCAGUGGCCAAGCGAAAGCG